AAAAUCAAUAGAAGACCUCAUUACCUUAGUUAAAUUUCAAUUGAGUCAUGUGAUUGCAGAAGAACAUUUUAUAGAGAUAAGUUGAAAUAUUACCUUUUCUGAGACCUUAUUGCUGCUGCCAUUCAGAAGCUCUGGUGCCAUCCAAGGUAAUGUCCCGCGCACACCACCAGUAACCAAAGUAUUUCGCUUAAUUUUUGAUAAGCCAAAAUCACCAACCU
rnacentral:lncRNA from 1 species